ensembl:snoRNA
UGCACUUCAUUUAGCUUUGUUUUUGAAUUGUAGACAAAGACUUAAAGACAAGUGCAAAGAACAAACCCUCUUUUGCAACCCACAACCCAUGGUUUUGUAUGAGUUGUGAUACAUACAAGAAGGGACAAU